CCAUCCCUAUAUCACUUCUCUAUGAAGAACAAAGUGUUAAAUUAUGUGAAUGCAGUGUGUUCAUCUUCCUUUCAUAGAUAUGUCAUAUAAUGAACACAAUCCAUGUAUGUAAAAGGGAUUUUGAAGGAAACAAUGUACCUCUGUCUAUCUAUCUAUCCAUUUAUGUAUCUAUCUAUCUCUGUCUAUCAUAUCCAUCCAUCCAUCCUUCCAUCCAUCCAUCCUUCCAUCCAUCCAUCCUUCCAUCUAUUUAUCUUUCUACCUAUCUUUCUAUCUAUGUAUCUCAAUCUUUUUCUGACACUCUCUCUCCCAUAACAAUGAGAAGAUAUAUAGUGAGUGGCUGUUAUACUAGACUGUUUCUACAUGAUAAAUGUUUUACAAUUAAUGAUUUUUCCAACUUCAUUGGCAAUACAUAUGGAACCGCAAUUUGUAAUAAAUUCUCUUGAGUACUGGG
rnacentral:lncRNA from 1 species